rnacentral:lncRNA from 1 species
GGGCUGCCCAGGGCUGCGCCAGCUUCAGAAUCCUGCUGCCAUCUAGGGAUGAGAUGAAGCGUCUUCCCGCGUACAGCCGCCCUGAUGGAUCGCUGGGGCCUCGGGCGGGGUGCACCGCUGUCCUUUCGCCGCCGUCCGGGCGGCACUGCACGUGCAGCGCGCGGUCCCCCACCCAGCGCAGCCCGCAACACCCCUGGUCUGCCGCAGGAGACCCUGCCGAUGCCACUCAGGGUCAAGACUCUGGCGCGGUGGAAACUGCAGAGCAAAAGGAAACACAGACAAAAACAGUGAGAAGGAGAGAGAGCAUGUGGGGCUUUGCCAGAGAGGAACUUGGAUGGCAAUCACCUAAGAACUCCAAACUCAGUGCCAGGGCAGACUGGUGUCUAUUUUGGGAUGGCUCAAGUACUCAAAAGGCAGCACUAAAAUAAGGCUAUGUCUCUUCCUGAGAAUACUCUGGACUUCAUUCUCUGAUUAAAGAUCACAACUGCUUCUUCGUUGAGGAAAUCAUGUAUUUCAAAGCCACCAAUGAACAAGAAUGACAAUCCAUGAAUUACACAGUAAACAAAUACUAUAUGUAUGAGACCGAUUCACUGUCACAAACCUGGAGAAGAAAACCCUUUUGAGGUUUAAAGCUGAGAGGGAGAUAAAAACUUGGUUGUACUACUUCUGGGAAAUGCUGAAGUUAUCCACGUGAUUUUCCAGUCACUGAUUAUUUUAGCAAAGUAACACAAACAGAGGAGGAGCUCUGGACUCUAGCUUCUCAUUUCUAAAAGAACAGAUGUAAUGGGAUGUAUUGGUCCAGCACUGAUAACAGGUUAUCCUACAAUCAAGUAUACUCUUUCCAGAAAGCUGAGUUAGGUAUGCAACUGCCUUUCUAAGCCAUGACUACAUUGCUAAAUGAAUCAUUGAUUUGGAAAAUCUGAAGUGACCUUCAGCUUGUUCUCCAGCUCUUCCUCAACAGAAAAGAGAGGCAAAAUCAGCAAAAUAUUGGAAAGAGGUAGUUUUUCUAAAGGUAUUUGUGGCAGGUAGAAGAUUGGAGGCCACUCAGCUAUGUGUGUAAGUGUGUGCAGGGAGAAAUUAGGUUCUAUAUUCAGAAGUGACAUUCUUUGUAUUUUCAGUGUGGCUCUAAAAACAGAGCCUUUUUCUUAUAGUUCAGAGUCAGACACUGCCCUUGGCUUCUCAGCCAUUCUAGUAAACUAUUUGUUACUCAGAAAGCCUCAAAUUCUUCAUUGAAUUUAUUUGGACCAGUUUUUGUGCACUUACCUCGUUGGCAUGGUAAUAGUCUUUUGAAUAACCAAUACUGUGAACAAUUAUACAAUUAAAAAUUCUACUUCCAUUAUUAUUCUUAACUUCUCCCUUUAUAUUUUGUUACAGUUAUGAGGUAUGUUUUAUUAACUAUUCUAGACAUAGAUCUAGCCCUGCAUUUACUCAGCACUGCCUUGCUCCUUUUCAUGAGGGGUGAUCUAGUUAGACAUAUCAAUAUUCAAUGAAAUGUAUAGAUUACCCUGAUAAAAUGGCUCAAUGAAGUUCAUGUAAGGUCAAUGGAAGAUUGAGGCAUCAUAUGCACUGAGCCACUAAUUGGUCUCAUACUAGUAGGAUAUAGCUAUCCCCACCCCCUAUAUCUUGAGUCUCCUUCCUCUUAGGUGCUGAGCAUUUCCAAAGGCUUCUCUAGCUGAAGCAGGUAUAAGAAAAUGAAGUGACAUAAAGCAUCAACCCUUAGGUAUAAAUGAUUGGCAAGUCUCAACCUUGCUAAAACUGAGACUUUUCAAUUAGCUAUGCUUAAAAGUUUCUACUGAAUUACUGAAGCCAUAAUUAUGUAUGUAAUUCAAGUUUCCUUUGAGCUGACCUACAAUGAAAGAAGUUACCUAAAUGACCUCUUAGGUCCUUUUCUCUCUCCAGCAAUCAUGGAUACUUUACGAAUCUCAUAAGGAGUACAGCUCAUUUAUUAUUAACACCAUUUUAGAAUGAAGGAAGAAGAGGCUUAGAAAGGUUUAGUAGCAGAGAAGAGAGCAGCCUUCUGAUUUGUGGGUUCCACAUUCUGGAUGCAGAAAACUUUCAGUCAUUCUUAUCUAUUGUGAGGCUUGUACCAGUUUCUCCAUAAACUUACAAAACCAAACCAUUUUGACAAGCUUUGUUCCUGCCUCUGACUUCUUUCAGAUAGUGGCUAACCAUCUUCUCUUGAUGAGUCAUUUUUGCUCUUCCUCAUUCCCUUCUUGAUGUUCAAGUAGGUGAACGUGAUGACUAUAAAAGGCAAGCAAUUAAUAUCUGGGGUUAGGCAGAGCUCUGUAAGCCAAUCUCCAAGAAUGUGCAAGCUCCUUUGUCCUUAACUGUAACCUUGGCACAUGAAAAGCAACUUCCAUUCCGUUUUACCAACAUUUCGGUCAAAGAUCAAUUGCCAUUGUAAUUAUAUCAUAUAUCACAGGAUGGGGAAUCAGUGAGAGGGCAGGCCCUUUAAACUAAUACAUAUCAUUAGCAUUUAAAGAACAUGAAAAACAAAUUGAACAUUAGUCCUCAUGUAAGUCUUUUUUCUAGAGCAAAUAAUUUUCCAAAUUAAAAUGAAUAAAUUAAUGAAAUUGUCACAUGUCUGAGAAUAAACUAGGUUGGUAAUGCCGUCAAGCUCUUAGCAAAGUUUAGCUCAUUGUACUUCUCUGUCUGAUCAUUAUAACAUCUAAUCAAGGGGAGCUUAAAUACUUCAAUGAGCUCUCAAAAUAAAUUUGAUCUGAGCAGCUCAGGUCUCAUGGAUUCCUAGGGUUACUGACUGGGUGAAACAUGUUUUUGUUUUAAUCCCUGUCUCAGCUCAAAGAGGAUUAAUGCCCGUAAUUCUGCUAUCCCCAUUUAAUUGAGAAAUGAAAUUUGAAGAGGCACCUCCUGGAACACUCCACUUUGAAAUAUGACCCAUCCACUGUCUAUAUAAUAAAUCUUCCUCUGCUCUCACACACUUAUCCACAUCCUUCCUAUCCCAAAGAAGGAGGAAAGAAAGUUAUUGUGUGUGUGUGUGUGUGUGUGUGUGUGUGUGUGUUUCUGUGCAUCUAAUCCAAAACACACAAUGUUGUUGUUUUAUUUUUCAAUUUUGGAAUUAUCCUAAUAAAGGCAUUCUCUGGGAAGCUCAGACUGCAUCUCAAACCUUUCUCUGACACUAGCAUCCUCAUUGGAACAAAUAGCCCUUUCACUAAAAGCAAUACAGUUAUUGCAUUCAUGUUAUAUGAUGGUAAUUUUCACUUUUGCUUUCAAUACAACAUUAAAAGAAAAAUUGUCUAUAGGAAAGAAAGAGGCAAUAUACUAUAUCCUGGAACUAAUUCUUUGGCAUCUGUAAAAAAGGGGGCCAUAAUUCUGAAUAGAGGCUCCUGUCCUAAAACAGACCCAAUGCUAAGAUCUAAUAGAAAGGGCACAGAGAAGCAUAAGGAAACUUAAUGUCACUUUCACGUUUUUUGUACAAGUUGAUGUGAGGAUCUAAAGAGGCAAUUUCUGUAAAAUGCCUAGUAGAGGACCAGGCAUAUAGUAAGCCCUCAGCAAAUGCUGGCUGUUAUCAUUAUGUUUUAUAAAGAAUUUUUACAUCUUCCUCCUAAGCCCUGAGGCUUCAUAACGAAGCCUUAUAUAUGACUCUCAAUGGCUCAAUGUCUUUCCUAACCUAAUGUAGAAAGUGACAUACCAUUGCUUCCAACAUAACCUAUUGGUCACAUGGACCAACAUAAGACCAAUGUGGGAUGACCCUGUACAUAAGGGUAAGAAGCAGGCAUCACUUGGGGCCAUCUCAAAGGAAGGUGACCACAACUGCCUAAUGGCAGUUGAAUCCUUUAUCAAGCUACCCUCAGUAACACUUCAGCUUUCAAGGACCAGGUUUUUGUGACUAUUGUGAACAGGAUUUUAGUGAAUGAAGAUAUAUCCCAAAAUAACAUUUCACUUAAAAGUUGAAUAUCUGUUAUCAAUUUACAAAUGCUUUUAUGUUAUAUCUCACUUGAGCUUCAAAAUAACCUUUUAAGACAGACAAGAGUAGAAACUACUCCAGUGAUUUCAUAGAUAAGGAAACUGAAGAUCAGAGAGACUUAAUGAUUAACCUAAGAUUUAAACUAGAUAUCCUCCUAGCAUUCUCAUGGCACUUAUUCUGCUAGCGUAGGCUGCCUUGUAUAUUUUUUAAAUGACUAUCUGUUUAUGUGCUGGUCAUGGGGUUUGCAGCAAAUCACAAGUGUGUAAUUUUUUUUUCUUAAAGGCAUUUAAUCUACUUUCUAAAAAUCACUAGAAUUCAGAAACUGAUACUACUUCUUUUGUUUCAUUAUUUGCCUCCCUGCCCCCAACACUCAUACAUAUUUAGAGACACCCAUGGACACUCAUGAACACACAUAUUCUUCUUUCUAGUCCCUUAUCAAUGGCAAACUAAAGUUAUUUUAGAAUAUACUAGCUGUCAUUGUGCCACAGAGAAACCUCUCUUUCAUGCAAAUUGAUAUAUGUAUAUAAUCAUACAUGUUUAUAUAUAAACUUUGUAGCUUUCCUCCCUCUUUUCUAAAAUAAAUUAUGAAAGGUUGUAUGUUCAGGCUUCACGCAGAAUUUUUCAUUUGAGGGAGACUUUUUCAACCCUUUCUAUUUGAGUUGGUAGCCAUUUAUAUGAAGAGAAAAUGAAUACUAAUGGAAAAUCCUAGAGUGGAUUUGGAAAAUCAUUAUAACAGUUCUGCUAUAGGUUUGGGCCUUUGACAAACCACCUAUUCAAGGAUGAAAAAUCCACUAUUUCUCUUCUGCAUUUCUUUUUCCGAAUACAGCUAGAUUGAAUAACAGGCCAGAUAAAGGAUUCAGAACAAUUGCUUUACUAAGUAAUAGUGAGCCCAUGUUCUAACCAAUGGGACAGAAACUGACCCUCUGUAUCUCUGACACAGUUGCCUUUCAUUGACAGAUUUACAGUGGAGGGGUUGGGAGAGCAGAUGAAUUAAAAAAAAACAAAAGCAAAUCAAGAUCCCCCAUAAAUUUCACGAUCCCCACAUCUUCCACCUCAGCACCUAUUAGAACACCUUACUCUUAAAUUCUGCACAUGUGGAGAUUUAUUUGUAUCCCAGAGGUUUGCUCAGAUGUUUCCUCUGUGCUUUCAAUGCAGGCCCACCCUUUUCUUUCUUCAUAUUAAAACCAUAUAGAUUCUCCUUGAAGCCUUCUCAACUGGUAAUAAUCAUUUACAUCCUUGCUAGUGCUUAUGAUUUUCGAAUUACUUUUAGAUAAUCUAACUCAGCGAUCUCCACACAACCUUAGACACUUAGCCCGGCAAGUAUUGUGCUUUUGCUUUCAUGGAUGAGAAAAAGGAGACUUGGAGUGCUUUGAUUAGCAAACAAGGUUACAGAGCUAAAAAAGGAGUGACACUGGAGUAGAUCCCAGCUUAAAUGAAACCCACUGCUUUACCUGCCCCUAUAGCCUGCAUGAUAUUUCCCUAUUCUGAGUGCUUGGAGCUCUUGGAGUCUCUUACAUCUAAUGUGAUCAUUAAGAGGUACUAACUGUCUGAUUGCUUCUUGUGUGCAGCUAACUCACUGGUGACCCAGCACUUUGGGAGGAUGAGGAGGGUGGAUCACAAGGUCAGGAGUUCGAGACCAGCCUGGCCAACAUGAUGAAACCCCGUCUCUACUAAAAAUACAAAAAUUAGCCAGGCGUGGUGGCAUGCACCUGUAUUCCCAGCUACUUGGGACACUGAGGCAGGAGACUUGCUUGAACCCGGGAGGCAGAGGUUGCAGUGAGCCAAGAUCGUGCCACUGCACUCCAGCCUGGGCGACAGAGUGAGACUCCAUCUCAAAAAUAAGUAAAUGAAUAAAUAAAAAUAAAAUAGAUUGAGCCUCCACAUUUUGCAUGCAGCUUUCUUGGUGCUUGUCCUUCUCCUGUGCUUACUCAAAGAUGGGACAUUGUGCACAAUGAGAAGAGUAUUGGGACCAGUAAGGAAGAAUGAGUCAGAUAUUGUGGGACCUCUUUUUUUGUUGUUUUUUUUUGCUCCCAGAAAUCUUUGAGGUAAGUAACAUAGUCAAUUGAGGUCUGGAGUUAUGUACUCCAUUUAUUCAUUUUUUCUUAACAUAGUCCCUCCUUACUAUGUGAUAUUCUCUGUCCUAGACCUUGAAAAUACAAGUUAAAUAUGGCAUAUUCUUUACCUCUAUGAGCUUAAAAUUGAGUGGGGAAAGUUUCAUUUUUUCUUUGAAAUGAAAACAAACUUAAGUACCGAUAUGCAUGAGAAAAAUAAAUUGUUCAUUUCUUUACCUACAUCUCAUCAGGAGUAAACACAUUCUCUCUCUGGCUAAGCCAAAUAUACCAUAAAUCCCUCCUAAAAAAAUACCCUGAAAUUGAGAAUCCAAUUUUAAUGGCUAAAUUAUAUUUACCUUGAACUGAGCAUUUUCUAUUAGGAUUUACGUAUGCAUCUUGGGGAUUCUGAAUGUUGGACUUUUUUUUCUUUUUUCUUUUAGAUUUUAACCUGAAUGGAAAAGACAAUAUGAGGGUGAUGAAAGACUCUAGAUGGUCCGUCUUGGUCUUUGAAAGAUGCUGGAAUAUAUGCCUGCUUGGCCAAUUAGUCCCCAAUAACUCUUCAGUGCCAUAGUACUGUGUGUAGAGAAAACCUCAAUGAAAAGAAAAUGGACAAUCAAGCUGGAUAAAAUACAUCCCUUAAAUGAGAACUACGCUAUGUGAAAAAAAAAUAGAAGAACAAGUCCUCAGCAAGUCAAUGAUCAUAAGAAAAACAGUUAUAUUGACUAGUUAUUUUGUGUGUUUGAUGUACAAUAUGGAGAAAUAUUAGUAGCCAAAUGAAUGUGACACAUUGACACAGAUGCAUUGUAAAUAUUAUGCUAUUGAGACCAUAGAUUCAGUUACAUUCCUCUGAUGAAUGUGGAUGCUUUCAUUUCCUGUUUUAGAAGGCAACUAACCUGAUUAAUAUCAAACUGCAAGCUCUGCCUUGUUUGCAGUAGGUGACUGCUCAAAUUGUAGUUAUUUUAGCCUCAGCUCUGAGAUAAUUUGUUUCUGUCCUGUUUUUCCCCCAACAAGUAUGGUUCAAGGUUCACAUACAGACUUGGCCAGAGUUCAUAUGCAGACUUUUAACUGCCUUCUUCCCAGGAUUUCCUCUCCAUUUUUGGGGUGGGUGGGCAGUGGGGUGCUGUGGUUGCACUGGGUCCUGUCAUCUGGUUCUUACCAACACAAAAUAUGAAGGUUUUUAAAGGAGUUUCAGUUAUUCUAAUUAUCCUGUACCUUAAGUUGUCUUUCUAAUACCUAGUGCUGGUUUCUUCUAAAUGUCAAAUCUCUUACAAAAACUGUUCUGUCUCAGGAAUUGUGUGUGUGUGAUUGUGCAUAUUCAGACUUUAUAGUUGUUACCUGCAUGACUGUCAGUCUAGUAGGAAUUCAUUCCAGCCUACUAGAAGAAAAAGUUUAUAUAUCAAUUUUGCAGAAAAAUAAUCCAAAUUGUAUAGGAUAUUACUCAAAAAGAAAACUUCGGAAAAGUUGUUUAAAUUUAUAAUCUUUUAGUUUUAAGCAAAUAUUUGUUAAACAUGCUUACUUCUCAGUUAGUGGAACAGAAGAAAAAAAAUGUAAUGUCAUCCCUGAACUCAGACACACAACACUUAAGAAAUUACAUUCAAAACAUAGGUGCUUUAACUUGAUAAGUACUUUAAAUGCAAUGCUAUAUCCAUUGUUUUCAAUGAACAUAGCAACAUUUUACAUGCACAAUAUAAUAAUGUGGUAAUUGCCAGAAAUAGUCCCUUUUUGCAAAUAUUUAAUGUAAUUCUACAGGAAAAAAUUUUAAGGCAGUAAAAUAAAAUGUAUUUCACGAUCUGCAAUGAUGUGUACCUUACUUUAGCCUUUUACUGCAACUAACUUCAGCAAAUAAAAUUUGGUGAAUAAUCUGUAUUUUCUUCUUUUCUUUCUUUUUUUUUUCUUGUAAGCCUCUCUCCCUUCCUGUCUCCAUUCUUUCCUACAAGGAAUAUUGGGUAUUUAUUAUGUGCACGGCACAUUCUAAAGCAGUGAAGAUGAGACAGUAAAUAUUCCAGGGACAGUAUCA